UAGGCAGUAUUUGAGUAAUAGAGUAAAACAACACAUUUAUGAUUGUAAAAAUAUUAAUAUAUUAAAAGAGAAUAAAACAGCAUUAGCAACCCACCACUUUGACCAACAUCAUAAUUUUAAGUUUGAUAAGAUAGAAAUCUUGGAUAAAGAAAUGAAUUGGUGGAAACGUAAUGUUAGUGAAAUGAUCUUUAUAAAAACUAAUGAUACUGUGAACAAACGAACAGACACUAACAAUUUAAGUAUUUUAUAUAAUGAUAUAUUAAAAGAGUAUAAAUCUAAUAGAAAAAAAUAACCUUCAUUUCAGAUAUAUUUGAAUUUGAUACUUAGCGAGGUUUGCGCUAGUAUAAAAUAUUGUAAAGUAUAGUCUAUGUACUGAAGUUUCAAUAGUGGGCUAACCUUUGUCACGCAAUUAGCAAUUUUAUGUGUCGUGUUGGCUUUGUUUCCGGAAUCAAAAAAUAGUAAUUAAAUAAUUUAGUGGCUUUGUAGAUUUGUAUUAGUCUCUGAUGUCUGAGACAAUUGUGCAGUGUAUGAUAGAGAUUAUUUAAAUUCAUAUUAUGGUAAAUAUGGUAGUUUGGACAAUUGUUGUUUUUGUAUUGUAGGUUAUCAAUUAUGUGUAAUUUUCAGAUGCCUGAUGAAGGUCUAAUAAAAGACCGAAACGUUGCUAAAAUAAUAAUGUAAUUUGUUAUAAUAGUCCUAUCUUGUCCACAUUCCUGAGAUACACGAAAAAUAUUUUAUAAUAAUUAUGGACGACAAUAUUGAUAAUAGUAAUUUACCGAGGGGUUUUUUUCAAGUAAUGAGAAUUGCACAUGGAGAUGAAGUAGUAAGAUCAGUAAAGGAAUGGUCGAAUAGCAUAAUUAAAUUGGCAUCAUUACAUAACAGAAAAAUUUUCUUACUAAAAUGCCGUACAAAUAAUAUUAUUCCUAAACAUAUCAGUAAUAAUAUGAAAUGUAUUUUAUCAUUAAAUAUUGAGGAUCAUCCUUUUAAGAAGAUGUCGGAUAGAUUGAUUACGGGUUUUCAAGGUUCGAUAUUGAGUCUGGAGAUAAAGGUGACACUAUGGAAAUUAGAGCAACAAAAUAAACGGAUAGUAGACAUGGAGGAUAAAGUUAAAGGUUUGGUCUCAGAACAGUUAUUUAGAAGAUGUGUGGUAAUGAUCAACAAAAGAUAUGAAUAUAAUUUUAAUAAGAUAAAAAAUACCAACAUUAAAAAAUUUGAUAUAUUAAUUAAACAAAAAAUAAACCGUCAUACAUUAUCAAGCAAGAGUAAACAUAUUUACAAUUAUACAGAUGUACAGCUACCAACUGAAGUAGAAAUGAUAUUGAACUUAGAACCUAAGUUUGGUAUAGAAAUAAAAGAAAAGUGGAAGGUGAUACCAACUGUGAUUAAGGAUUUAGAAUUUGGAAUUGAAGCUGUACAGUUGGAUGAUUGUAACGAUGAAGGAAAAGAUAUUGUUAAGAAUAAUUUGAGAUCUAAAGCGAUUAAUGUAAUUUCUAACUAUUACAAAAAAACAAAAACAAAAAAAAAAAAUGAUAGACUAAAUCAUACAGUAUUAAUAAAAAAUUUAUAUAUUACUCGAAAAUUUCUAAAAGAGAGACCGGACUUAAUAGUUGCAAGAGCGGAUAAAGGGAACACAACAGUGAUAAUGUUAAAAACUGAGUAUGACACUGAAAUGAGAAAGAUGUUGAAUGACAAGGUGACAUAUAAAUUACUGAAAAAGGAUCCUACAAAUAAAUGGCAAAAAGUUGCAAACAGUUUAGUGAACAAGUUAGUAGUAGCAAAAAUUGUUGAGGAACAACAAGGUAAACAUCUGAAAGCAAAGUAUACUGUUGCACCCAGGAUUUAUGGUUUGAGGAAAACACAUAAGGAGACUUGUUGUUUGCGUCCAGUGGUCAGUUGUGUUAAUUCCCCGAGUUACAGCCUGGCACGGUUCCUACAUGAAAUACUGACUCCAGUGAUUGAGAAGUUUCAAUAUAAUGUAAAAAAUUCAUUUGACUUCGUGACAUUUAGUAGAAAGGUUAGCUUACCGAAGAAUUAUGUACUGAUUUCAUUGGAUGUAGUGUCAUUGUUCACGAAUGUACGUCGUGACUUGAUUCUUAAAGUAAUUGAGGAAACUUGGGAUAACAUGAAGCAUUUAGUAAAAAUUCCUAAGAGUGUGUUAGUUGACCUCAUUACGUUUUGUUAUGAUUCAAGUUACUUUGUAUAUCAAGGAGAGUUCUAUGCACAAACGGAAGGCAGCAGUAUGGGAAACCCUGCAAGUCCAGUCAUAGCUAACAUCGUUAUGAACUAUGUCAUCGAUCAGAUAUUGAAGAUUCUACCGUUUGAAAUUCACUUCUUAAAGUUAUACGUGGAUGAUACUAUCGCAGCCAUACCGGAGUCGGAAGUAAAUAAUAUCUUAGAGUUAUUUAAUAGCUUUGACAAUAAUAUACAAUUUACCAUGGAAGUAGAAAAGGAUGAUAGUUUAUCUUUUCUAGAUGUGUUAGUCAAAAGAUCAAAUGAUAAAUUGAUAACUGAUUGGUUUGUCAAACCCAUUAGUUCAGGUCGGCUAUUAAAUUGGAAUUCAAAUCAUCCUCGGUCUCAGAAGAUAGGUAUGAUAAAAGGUUUACUUGAUAGAAUGACAAAGUUAAGUAGUAGUGAUUUUUAUGAAAUUAAUUUUAGUAAGAUUCGUAACAUAUUGUUGAAUAAUAAUUAUGAAAUACCAUUAGUAGACAGUGUUAUAAAUAAAUUUAAAGAGAACUUAAAUAAUAAACCAAGGAGUUUGGUCAACUCAAAUAAUAAUAACAUUAGAUAUUGUCGGUUUCCUUAUAUAGCAGAAUUAUCACAUAAAUUAAACAGAGUUUUUAUAGGAACUCAUGUAAGAUUAGCAUUUUAUAACAUCUUAAGAGUUAAUUCAAUCUAUUCUAAGUUAAAAGAUCCAGUAAAUAAACAACAACAAACUGGAAUAGUGUAUAAAAUACCUUGUUCGUGUGACUUAUGCUGUGUUGGACAAACUAGGCAGUAUUUGAGUAAUAGAGUAAAACAACACAUUUAUGAUUGUAAAAAUAUUAAUAUAUUAAAAGAGAAUAAAACAGCAUUAGCAACCCACCACUUUGACCAACAUCAUAAUUUUAAGUUUGAUAAGAUAGAAAUCUUGGAUAAAGAAAUGAAUUGGUGGAAACGUAAUGUUAGUGAAAUGAUCUUUAUAAAAACUAAUGAUACUGUGAACAAACGAACAGACACUAACAAUUUAAGUAUUUUAUAUAAUGAUAUAUUAAAAGAGUAUAAAUCUAAUAGAAAAAAAUAACCUUCAUUUCAGAUAUAUUUGAAUUUGAUACUUAGCGAGGUUUGCGCUAGUAUAAAAUAUUGUAAAGUAUAGUCUAUGUACUGAAGUUUCAAUAGUGGGCUAACCUUUGUCACGCAAUUAGCAAUUUUAUGUGUCGUGUUGGCUUUGUUUCCGGAAUCAAAAAAUAGUAAUUAAAUAAUUUAGUGGCUUUGUAGAUUUGUAUUAGUCUCUGAUGUCUGAGACAAUUGUGCAGUGUAUGAUAGAGAUUAUUUAAAUUCAUAUUAUGGAUUACUGGCGGCCCGGAGGCCUUUCCAGUUUCACCAGGACAGGUGGGCGAGCAAAGGCUCAGCCAGGAGGGGUGGGAAUUGCUAACAGCUACCCGAGCGCCUCCGAAGGAGACUAAACAGCUCAAGAGCAGCUGCUUCGCGAAUGAAUCUACUACCGGAUCGGAAUCGCGACCCGCUAAGAAGAUCCGGCGACAAACUCAGCGCGCUGAUUCAUGGGUUAGGUUGCACGGCGAACUCUUUGUCGAGUUCGACGAGUACGGUUACCGAGGUCCUUAAGCCUGCUCCUAGUGUUAGAGCUGAAGGCGUCUAAUGCAAAGGUUAUUGGAUCUGAUGGAAACGGUCUUCGUGUCAACUCUGCAAAGCUUUUAUAGUCGAUACAACAUCUCUAUUAUACAAUUAUCGAGAACAUUCCCGGCAAGACCAGUGUUUUAGAUAUGUGUUUCCGCUAUUUGAUAAUAGAUGACGUUACACUUCUCGAGCAUUCUCGAUUUUACUAGUUCUUUUUAUAUUCGUUUCCUUUAUUCGACGAGAGAUGGCGUUACUCUUACCGGCGUAACAUCACUAUUGACUUUGAGACAGCUCUACAAAUUCUAUCUUGCCACCGUCGGGUCACAUUCUUGAAAUACAAACAUAUGCAAACAAAGUUUUCAGGUAACUACCCGACGUACUCGCUCUUGCUAUCCUCGUGAGAGCUAACUAGAUCCUUUCACUCUGGCGAAUAACAAGACCGUUUGUGUGAUAUCAGGACAGGUACACACUCGCGCUCGGCUUGCCUUGAAAAAUCUCGACGAGAGUGUACAGCUGGGUUAAAACUAAAUCGUGGUACUCCAAUAUUGGAAUGCAAUAAUUUCCUUUAGUAUUAGCUUACAAAGUAAGUGCAUUUCUGACCGCUAGCGUGAGCAUUCUUUGGGUUAGUUUCUUUUGUUUUCGUUACUUACAAAGUCGAGCACACGACCUUCCUAAUGGUAAACAGUUACUGUCGCUCGUGACCUCAACAAUGUUAGGGGAAGCCAAGGGGCAGUCUACGGCUGGGGAUUCUCAAAAUCUCAAAACUUAACGGUCAAUCACUUAUCCGAUCUUGGCGUGGUGCUGCUUUGUUUUAGAUUACGUUCCAUUGAAAAGAAAUGCGAGAAAACUUAUUAAUAAUGUAAAAUACAGUAAAAAGAGUAAUAUUUAUGCAAAGCUCCGCUCGGCAGUAAUAGCUGGUUCAUUUUUCGUUGCCGAUUGUCUUAUUGCUAGUGAUUUUCUUUAGAGGCCCUCAUUAGAGGCAUUAGAGGCCUGUCUGAACGAAGCUUCUCUUGUUUUGCGCGGGCGAGGAAAUAUAAUUUAGCCGAGUUUUAUUUUAUGAAAGGAUUUGGAAAUUGAAUCUUACGAAAAACCAUUUAAAAAAUAACAUACAUUUUGUUAACAAUAAUAGACUUUUGGUCUCAAUUUUCAAACUGCAGCUUUUAUUUCCCUUGCAGACUAGCACAUGGCCGAACUGAGGAUGAGUGGUUGUCGUCUCUUAUGGACAUCAGCAAUGCAAACUAAAAUCUGCUGCUCUGUCCUGUGUAUUUGGUGACACCAGUGGCACUGGCCCUUAAAAAGUCUGCGACCUUGAUUUUUGCUUGUGUCAUUCUAUUAUCGUGAAAGACGUUCCUGAAGAUAUGCUAGAUGCGGAAAGAUUUGAAAUGAUUAGUUUUAUUAAAAUAGAAAAUGUCGCGUAACUUCAACGGCCUAGUGAUCAUUGAAUAUCAACAGGCAGGUCACGAAUUCCAUCCGGUGGUAAAUUCUGCGAAGUACACAGCUCUUGCUAGGGUUAGUGUUAGCUAAUCCUCUCGGCUUGAGCGCGUGAGCUUGCCUACCCAUCCGGACGUUGCUGGAAUAGCCUCUAGACUACCAACGAAUAGGUAGGGAGGCAGCCCUAUUGAAAACGGCUUGAAUAAUCUUAAGAGAACUACCUAUACUGAGAUUUUAUAACAUGUAUCUCAAGGUGGGUGGCACAUUUACGUUGUAGAUGUCUAUGGGCUCCGGUAAUCACUUAACACCAGGUGAGCUGUGAGCUCGUCUACCCAUCUCAGCAAUAAAAAAAAGUAGUUCUUUUUUUUCUCCACCUUAUCCCACUAGGUGGGGUCGGCACAGCUAAUUUUUCUCUUCCAUUCUCCUCUAUCAGCCGUCAUCUCAACACUCACUCCUCUCUCUCUCUCAUAUCAUCAUUCACACACUCCAUCCAUGUCUUCUUCGGUCGACCUCUUCCCUCUACCUUGCACUACCAUUUUCAUACAUCUCCUAGUCACGUGCACCUCUCUACGCAUCACAUGUCCAUACCACGCUAACCAUCCGCUCUUUAAUUUGUUGCUUAAGAAAACAUGUACAAUGUUCCAAAUAAUGAAACAAUACGUUGGUAACGUUUCUAGAAACAUCCCUUGUCAAAUGAGCGGAUAAGCAGAAAGCACCGUAACUGCGGCAUUAAGAUAAAGUGUACGAAGUUUUUAACGUCUCGAACUAAUGAACUGAGAGUAACCGGACUUUAUAUUAUCAAUGAAACGACUUUGUCAUUUGACGACCUGAAAAUUUAAUGAAAAGCCUUUGAAAUUUAUUUCGGAAAAGUGUUACUCUGAAAAUAUUGGUUUAUGAAAUCAUUUAAUAAUAUAUAAGUAUUUAGACUGAUAUUUUUAGUUCUUGAGCCGACUUCGGAAACUUCAUUAUGUGAGACUGGCGUGCAUACGUAUAUAAGUUUUUAAAUAUACUAAUGGUCCCCGCAGUAGUCGAAAUUUGACUAUGGUUAAUUGAAAUUUAAGUUUAAACAUUAUUAUGCUUCUAUUGUCAAACACUAUUAUACUUCUAUAAUAAUACAGAUAUUAAUAUAUUCUAUAUAAUACAGAUUUCGCGAAAACUACACUGUAGACAAAUAAUAUUAAAGAUAAAAAAAUUUAAUAAUUCUCAAAUUGACCACAGAUUUUAAACGAUAACAAAAGUUUCACAAUUGACAAUAUACAAAGAGUAUAUUUAUACGUUAAACGGACCGGCCGCACUGGAGAUCCCUUGGAGGGGCCUAUGCACGGAUGCACGGACCUAGAUAUAUAAGGUACCUUAUUUAUCUAUUCCGUGGGCCUAUGUUCAGCAGUGGACAAUGGACAGGCUGAGAUGAUGAUAUUUAUACGUAUGUGUUGUGUCAAAUACAUCGUAGUGUGUGUAAUGUUUUCUUAAUCAAUAAUUAAUUAAUUAAGGUAUUUUUUAUGCAUAAUUUAGAAAAUAUAUUAGCAUUCUGCACUUCUUCUCUAUGUUCUCAAUAAGUGUGGAAAAUUUCAUUCUCCUCCGUCUGCGCAAUUUUUGUAAAAAGGGGUACAAAGUUUUGGCUUCACGUAUUAAUAUAUAGAUAAAUAUAUUGAAUAUGUUUAGAGAUUUUAAUAGACAGUCUGUAUUAACAUUGUACUUCACCGCUACUCAUCAACGGUUGUUUGAACAAGAAUCAACGGUUGUUUGAACAAGAUCGCUAUCUCUAUCAAUUGUCUCCCUACUCAAUGGCUUGCUAGCCUAUGCUCCGGAAGUGGAUAUAUUCCAUGAUGGUUUGCAGCGGUUUAUAGUUGUUGCUAGAAAUUACUUAAUAAAUAAUAAAUAAAAUAAAAUAAAAA